rfam:Bacteroides sp. CAG:598 genomic scaffold, scf130
GCAGUUGGCCGGUCUGCCGCCUGCACCUUGGGUGUGCAUGAGGAAAGUCCGGGCAACACAGAGCAUCCUACUUCCUAACAGAAAGCUGUCCGCGAGGGUAGAGUAACGCAGAAGAAAACAACCGCCCUCCUUCUCUCGGAAGGAGGGUAAGGGUGAGAAGGCGGGGUAAGAGCCCACCAGUCUUGUGGCGACACAAGGGCUGUGCGUCUUGGGAGUUGUAAGGUCAUGUAAACCGGCGCAAGGAGAGUUGCUCGCUCGAUGCCGGAGGGUAGACCGCUAAAGCGCGUAUGGUGACAUACGGCUCAGAUAAAUGGCAGACACCUUGUCCCCCUCGGACAAGGCACAGAACCCGGCUUACAGGCCAACUGCUUUU